rnacentral:pre_miRNA from 1 species
GAUUUCAACUGAAAAAGUCAUCAACAACAAAAUUGUAUAACUCAUCAAGAUCUAAAACUUUUAUUUUUGUCAUUUCCUCAUCCGAUAAAGUGUUAGUAACAUUGUUCACAAAUUUUACAUAUAUGUGUUAUAGUUUAUAAAACCAGAUAAAAGAUACGUCAAUUUUGUAAACAAUCUUAGUAUCACUUUGUCGAAUGAAGAAAUGAUCAAAAUAAAAGUUUUAGAUCUUGAUGAGUUAUUCAACUUUGUUGUUUAAUUUUUUCAGUUGAAAUC